AGGGAUAUGCAUCUAAAUGGUCCA
rnacentral:siRNA from 1 species